rfam:Schistocephalus solidus strain NST_G2 genome assembly, scaffold: SSLN_scaffold0008865
GGGCCCGUGGCUCAAUGGUAGAGCAUUCGAUUCAAUAACCAAACGUCGCGGGUUCGAAUCCUAUGUGGUCUA